GCCCCAGGAAGCUCAGAGAUUUAAGGACGCUGGCAGCCGACUUUUGGGUUAUCUUCACAAAAGUAAUUUAAUUUUAGAAUGUGGAAUAUUUGGGGCGCCUGGGUGGCUCAGUCAGUUAAGUGUCCGACUUCAGCUCAGGUCAUGAUCUCGGAGUUUGUGGGUUCGAGCCCAGCGUCAGACUCUGUGCUGACACCUCAGAGCCUGGAGCCUGCUUCGGAUUCUGUCUGCCUCUCUCUCUCUCUCUCUCUCACCCCUCCUCCACUCACACUCUGUGUCUCUCUCUGUCAAAAAUAAAUAAACAUUAUUUAUUUACUUUUUUUUAAAGAACGUGGAAUACAGAGAAACAGCACUGGACCUUUGUACCAAGGACUCCUGCAGUGGUGUAGGAUUUACUGGAGGACCCAGAGACUCCAUCUGGACCCUAAUCAAUACCGGACACAAUUACAUGCACAUCGCCUGCUAUUCCUGGUUGAUUUGUAAGCCGAGAAAAUCUCUGAGGCAGAAAGUCAGUGAAGAAGUUGGGAAAACCAGAGGCCUGUCUUCUGCAGAAAUCGGACGAAAAGUAAGUUGCAAAAUUAAUGGAAUGUCUUGGCGUCCAAUAAAGAGUAUGUUAUGCUGCAACAGAGUAGGACCUAUGCGUGUACCUGUUCAUUCACUUAACAUACAGAAUCAAGCACUGACGUUUACAAUCCCGUUCAUUGUUCUGGGCACUGGGGAAACAGCAAAGAAGAAAACAGUCCUGUUAUUAUGGUGAUUUCAUUCUGGAGAGCAGAAAAGGUAAUCUAGUAACUAUAUACAGUAUGUCAACUAACAAUGAGUGCAAUGGAGAAAGAUAAAGUAGAGUGAUGGGAAGGACCGUGUUGGAGGAGGGGGCUGGUUGAUUUGCUGUUUUAUUUUUCAUAGAGUGAUCUAGGAAGGCAUCACUGAUAAGAUAACAUUUAAGCAGCGAAGUGUAAGAAGUGAGAGUGAGCCACGGGUUCGUCAAGGAGAAUGUUUUUGUUUUUGUUUUUUCUUUUUUUUGUAAAAGGAGCAGCAAGUGAAAGAACUCGGGGCGUUAGUGCAUUUAGUCAACAGGAAGGAGGCCAGGGAGUGCAGACAUGAGAGGACAAAGGGGAGAGCGGUGGGGGAAGAGGUUGGAAAGCUAGCAGACAACCCAAGUAAUGGAAGUCUUAUUGCUUAUUGCUGGGACUUUGGAUUUGAAAUAGGAGGAUUUGAAAUAGGAGGCCACAGAAGCGUUUUGGCAGUUAAGUGACAUGAUCUGGCAAAUGUUUUUUAAGGGCUUUAUAAGGGCUUGCUUUGCUGCCCUAUGGUAAGCCUGCAUUGUAGAAGGGAGGUAGGAAAGAGGCACAGAGGUCACGUAGGAGGCAUUUCAAUCAAACAAUGGAGGAAAGACGAGAACUUGGGUGAGAAUGGUAAGACGCCGCCAUGCCCCGGAUGUGUGGUGAAGGAAACCCCCAUAGCUCAUACCUCGUGAUAACUUAAAUAUGGGGUUGGACAGGAAGUGAAGUGUAAAGAAAGAAAAGACUCCUGGCAGCGGGGAGGAUAUCUUACCCUUAGAGAAGAGGCUUCCAAAUGUGAUAGUUACCUAUUUAUUCAAAGCCUUCCUAAUAAAAAGUAUCUAUUUCUGGGGCA
rnacentral:lncRNA from 1 species